rnacentral:sRNA from 1 species
AAUAUUCAAAAUAUUUAUACGGUGGUGUACAAAAUAUGUAAAAGUAUACGGUGGUGUACAAAAUAUGUGAAAGUGUACGAUGUUGUACACCAUUAAUAUCAUGUACACCACUAAAAUGGUUCACUCUUUCUAAACGUGGUGUACAAAUUAUGUGAAGGUGUACAACAUAUCAUGUACACCAUAUUUAAGAUAUCAUCUUCGCACAUAUCGUUUGUACACCAACACGUAUACUGUUAUAUCCAGUAUAUCACUUCUUACAUCAGUAUCAUACAUUACUUUUUAUACUAUUGUCGUACACCACUGUUUGUACACUAGUACUUUUUGCAUGGUCACGUACACCGUCGGGUUGAGAUUAAAUAUAAAAAAUGUUAUGUAUUUUCAAAAUAUAGCAAAAGUAAACCUUUUAGAUUCACAGAAAAAAUUAAAUAUAAAUAUGUUGUUGUGAAAAU